rnacentral:siRNA from 1 species
CGUCGGGGCAAGAGCCAGGCCU